AGAGAGAGAGAGAGAGAGAGAGAGAGAGAUCAAUGAUCAAGUUGUGUGUGCUGCUUGUUGCUUGUCUUAUAUCGCUGUCUGAAAAAAGCAGCGGGAAAGGGGGUAUGAAAAAGUGGUCGGCACUCGGCAUAGUCGUGGAACUAUUUUGACCCCAAAGCAUACAAAGAGAAUACAUAUCUCGUACGAUGCAAAAUCCUGUAAUUUUGAUUAAAAAGUUGGCAUCUUUGACAUGUAUUCAAGUGUAAUAAAAUCCGACGUUUUGUUA